GGACAGACUGCCUGGGCUGGCGUUCUGAUUUGCCGAAGUGCCUAUACAGAGUCAGCCCUUGUGCUGCUCAUUUACAAAUAGCUGCCUGGUGUCUCCCCUCAUCUCCACUCCUCUGGAUUCCAGAACUUCCUACACAGGAGCCCAGCCCUGGACAGUGACGGUGACCCAUGGAGAAUGCAUCAUGCCUGUCAGGGUCCUGUUGGUUCAGCGGCUGGGGAGGCAGUGCCCUGCUGGGAACGAUCACUUCCCAUGAAGACGGAUGGCUUUCUCCGUCCCAGCGACACUCUAACUGCGAGAGAUGGGGGAACCUGCUGCAGGAGGGAAGGGGAAGUUUGUAUUAAGUGGCCACUGAGCCCAGUGGGGAAGUAUGAGGGGGGCAUGGAGGCUUAUUUCACUGUUUCAAUAACACCAGCCUUGCAGACUGACAAGACUUCUCCCCCCGGAGAGCUAACUGCUCAGCUGUCCACGUGUUUCUUUGCACACUGGUAAAGCCCAGGGGUUACUUACCGGCAUGCAUUUUGGAAUCAGCUGGCUUGUGAAUAAGUCCUUGCUUUGCCGUUUCCUUGGCUGCUAAAUUUGGACCCACUAUUUAAUUUCCCUUUGGUCUCUGUUUCUUAAUGAAAUAAUAGUAUCCACCUUGUUAAGUUACGCUGUGAAGUCUGAGAGACCUGCAUGUGAAGCCCUAAGAGAGGCUGGAGAGCAGGGGUG
rnacentral:lncRNA from 1 species